GACGAACGCUGGCGGCUUGCUUAACACAUGCAAUUCGAACGGAGUGGCGAACGGGUGAGUAACCCGUGGGUGAUCUGCCUUGCACUUCGGGAUAAUCUUGGGAAACUGGGUCUAAUACCGGAUAUUGGAAGAUGAGCUCGCGGCCUAUCAGCUUGUUGGUGGGGUAAUGGCCUACCAAGGCGUCGACGGGUAGCCGGCCUGGGAGGGUGUACGGCCACAGUGGGACUGAGAUAGGGCCCAGAGUGCUACGGGAGGCAGGAGUGGGGAAUAUUGCACAAAGGGCGGAAGCCUGAUGCAGGGACGCCGCGUGGGGGAUGAAGGCCUUCGGGGUGUAAACUCCUUUCGACAGGGACGGGGUACCUGUAUAAGAAGCACCGGCUAACUACGUGCCAGAGCCGCGGUAAUUC
rnacentral:rRNA from 1 species